rnacentral:hammerhead_ribozyme from 1 species
AUUCAGCUGACGAAUCCCAAAUAGGACGAAACACACGUUCUGGAU